rnacentral:rRNA from 1 species
CCCCUAGAUGUUCUGGGCCGCACGCGCGCUACACUGAACAGUUCAACAAGUCUUAACCUUGGCCGAUAGGUCUGGGUAAUCUUUGAACGCUGUUCGUGAUUGGGAUAGACCUUUGCAAUUAUGGGUCUUCAACGAGGAAUUCCUAGUAAACGCAAGUCAUCAGCUUGCAUUGAUUACGUCCCUGCCCUUUGUACACACCGCCCGUCGCACCUACCGAUUGAAUGGUCCGGUGAAAUCUUCGGAUCUGAGAGAUGUCUGAUUAAUUUCGGACGCCUUUUGGAAAAGUUGCUUAAACCUUGCCAUUUAGAGGAAGGUGAAGUCGUANCA